rnacentral:rRNA from 1 species
CCUACGUGAGGCAGCAGUGAGGAAUAUUGGUCAAUGGCCGGGAGGCUGAACCAGCCAAGUCGCGUGAGGGAAGACGGCCCUACGGGUUGUAAACCUCUUUUGUCAGGGAGCAAGGUGCAGGUCGGGACCUGCUGUGAGAGUACCUGAAGAAAAAGCAUCGGCUAACUCCGUGCCAGCAGCCGCGGUAAUACGGAGGAUGCGAGCGUUAUCCGGAUUUAUUGGGUUUAAAGGGAGCGUUGGUGGAUUGUUAAGUCAGUUGUGAAAGUUUGCGGCUCAACCGUAAAAUUGCAGUUGAAACUGGCAGUCUUGAGUACAGUAGAGGUGGGCGGAAUUCGUGGUGUAGCGGUGAAAUGCUUAGAUAUCACGAAGAACUCCGAUUGCGAAGGCAGCUCACUGGACUGCAACUGACACUGAGGCUCGAAAGUGUGGGUAUCAAACAGGAUUAGAUACCCUUGUAGUC